GGGAGGCAGCAGUGGGGAAUAUUGGACAAUGGGGGAAACCCUGAUCCAGCAAUGCCGCGUGUGUGAAGAAGGCCUGCGGGUUGUAAAGCACUUUCAAUUGGGAAGAAAAGCAGUCGGCUAAUACCUGGCUGUCUUGACGUUACCUUUACAAGAAGCACCGGCUAACUCCGUGCCAGCAGCCGCGGUAAUACGGAGGGUGCGAGCGUUAAUCGGAAUUACUGGGCGUAAAGCGCGCGUASGCGGCUUUGUAAGUCGGAUGUGAAAGCCCCGGGCUUAACCUGGGAACUGCAUUCGAUACUG
rnacentral:rRNA from 1 species